UCCCGUCGAUGUGGAUAGGGGGAUGCCCCCUCUGCUGUUUCCUGAAGUCCACGAUCAUCUCCUUUGUUUUGUUGACGUUGAGUGUGAGGUUAUUUUCCUACAUUUUACGGACGCAAUGUAUUUUACAAUAGUAAUCUUUUGUUUGUUUUUAGUCCCAUCCUUAAGCUAUUCUCCACCCCUCCCAUUUAUCUCUGACGACCACCCAGAUUUGAUUUCUAUUUGCCAUAUACUUGCCAACUGUGCUGUUUCACCAAACUUCUGAACCUACUGUAAAUACAUUUUCCUUUAGUUUAUCUUGUUAUUUUUAGUCCUACCCUUCAGCUCCACUCAGCUUUCCAAUGAACCCAUUGACUUGCCUGAAUGAGCAAUGUGUUCUAGAAUCUGAACGAAUUAUACAAUACACUCACAAACUGCUGACAAAAUCUAAGAAUUGGACUGGAUAUUUCCUUGUGGGUUCAGAACCAGCACCAGCUGUCAUAAUGAAUUAACUGUUUCUGUGGACGAUGCAGCCAAUUAAGUCAUUUUGAAUGAUUUGUAAGUGUAGAUGAUGUACACCCAGUGGUCAGUAUAUUAGGUACACCCAGUGGUCAGUAUAUUAGGUACACUCAGUGGUCAGUGUAUUAGGUACACCCAGUGGUCAGUAUAUUAGGUACACACAGUGGUCAGUGUAUUAGGUACACCCAGUGGUCAGUUUAUUAGGUACACACAGUGGUUAGUGUAUUAGGUACACUCAGUGGUCAGUGUAUUAGGUACACCCAGUGGUCAGUUUAUUAGGUACACUCAGUGUAUUAGAGAAACCCUGUAAUACUCUACACCCCCUCAGUGGUCAUAGAGACCAGAGAAACCCUGUAAUACUCUACACCCCCUCAGUGGUCAUAGAGACCAGAGAAACCCUGUAAUACUCUACACCCCCUCAGUGGUCAUAGAGACCAGAGAAACCCUGUAAUACUCUACACCCCCUCAGUGGUCAUAGAGACCAGAGAACCCCUGUAAUACUCUACACCCCCUCAGUGGUCAUAGAGACCAGAGAAACCCUGUAAUACUCUACACCCCCUCAGUGGUCAUAGAGACCAGAGAAACCCUGUAAUACUCUACACCCCCUCAGUGGUCAUAGAGACCAGAGUAAUCCUGUAAUACUCUACACCCCCUCGAAGCAGAGACCUAGAGACAAACAAAGCAUGGAGCCAGGACUAGCUGAAGCGUUAGUCAGCACUCUACCAUUAGAGUGCUCCCACUCUACCAUUAAGGUGCUCCCACUCUACCAUUAGAGUGCUCCCACUCUACCAUUAGAGUGCUCCCACUCUACCAUUAGAGGGCUCCCACUCUACCAUUAGAGGG